CGGCGGACGGGUGAGUAACGCGUGGGUAACCUACCCCAAAGUCCGGGAUAACAGCGGGAAACCGCUGCUAAUACCGGAUGCCUUUACCUUGGGGCAUCUUGAGGUAAAGAAAGGUAACGCUUUGGGAUGGGCCCGCGUCCCAUUAGCUAGUUGGUGAGGUAACGGCUCACCAAGGCGACGAUGGGUAGCCGGCCUGAGAGGGUGGACGGCCACACUGGGACUGAGACACGGCCCAGACUCCUACGGGAGGCAGCAGUAGGGAAUAUUGCGCAAUGGACGGAAGUCUGACGCAGCGACGCCGCGUGAGCGAUGAAGGUCUUCGGAUCGUAAAGCUCCGUCCUUGGGGAAGAAGGCGAAAGCUUGACGGUACCCAAGAAGAAAGCCCCGGCUAACUACGUGCCAGCAGCCGCGGUAAUACGUAGGGGGCGAGCGUUGUCCGGAAUUACUGGGCGUAAA
rnacentral:rRNA from 1 species